rfam:Streptomyces katrae strain NRRL ISP-5550 contig118.2, whole genome shotgun sequence.
CUUGACCGACCCCAGCCACAGCGGCUGCCCCGCCGCCCGGCCCUGCCCGUACGUCGCCAGCAGCGCCUGCGCCUC